rnacentral:lncRNA from 1 species
GCAUACUUGAAGAGAUAUUCUAGUGAAGGCUCCCUUCUUGAGAGACAAUUGACAAACAUUUUUUCAUAAACUUUCAGAUUUUAUGAAGAUACUUUAUUGGUAAUGGAAUGAAGAUCUUGUUUUAGCAAGGAAGAAUACAAAUAAAAUUAUCAUAUGAGAUGCAGUAAGGAAGUGCAGAAUUGUGUUGGGGAAAGCCCUGAAUCAAAAGGAUACUCUAAAGAUGUCACAAAAUUGAGAAGUUGGAAAAGACAUAAAGCAAAAAUAAACUUUGACAGAAUUUUGCAUUUGACAGUGGCAGAAAGCUACCUUUCCUCAUUAUGAAGGUAAGUAUAUGUGCAUAUGUGUUAGAUAAAUAAAUUCUGUAAUAUUUCUCCUAUCAAAUUAUUUAACUGCUCAUUAAUUACCUGUAUGCUUUGAGUUAUGCUUAUUUUUAUAUUGCACAGCCCUGUUCUGGGGCAGUGAGAUAGGUUGUCAAGCCACUUAGGAGAACUCUAGAGAUGGAAUAUGAGAUACAGAGAUAUAAGGUUCUCUGAGAAAUUCUUAUAGAAGAAGUCAUGGUAUGGACAGGCAUUUUACCAGAAGGUCCAGUGAUGGCAGACUGGAUGUGUAUACUUCUGCUCCAUGGAAUGCCUCUAGUAUCUCACCAGAACAUAUCAUCUCCUAUCCCUGAUGGUGUUUUUUUCAGAGGUAGCUAUGUGGACAAGCAUUUCCCACUCUAUGAUGCUUUGAUCUGCACAGCAGGGAGAGGACUUUUUUUUUAGUUUAGAAGCAGUGUCUAGCUUGGUUUUGUCUCAUUGUGUGACUAGCAACC